UCUAUCCAAAUGGAGCCUUAUUUGAAAUCCCGCCAGGACUCUAUAAAUUCAUACUUCCUCGCUUAGCUAGCUUAGGGCUUAAUCAAUUCAUCUUCAUCCUCUCCAAAAGAAUGCCCCGUAAUCGGUUAAUCCCGCCAGGACUCUAUAAAUUCUUACUUCCUUGCUUAGCUUAGGGCUUUAUCAAUUCAUCUUCAUCCCCUCCAAAAGGAACACAGAACGUUACUGCUACAGACUGCCGAUCAAAUCAAGCCUUGCCACGUGUUGUUCCUCUGCGACUUCCCGCUCUUUUUCCGUAGCUGACAUGGCGUGCUUUGGGUUCCUUACAGCACAUUCCCACAUCAGAACCCAACUACGCAGUGAUGCAAAUCUGCAGCUGUCCGUAGGAUUGAGGAUUUAUCUACUUUUCUUUGUUGGGGCCAUGUGGAAGAUUACUGAAAGAUAAGAUUUAAAGUUUGAUCAGCCUAGAUUUUGAAUAUGGAGGAUAAGGUUUCAACUAAGAAAUAUAGGAAGAAAAAAGGGAGAUCAGUAGUUGAGACGGAAGUUGGUGGUAAAAACACAGCAAAAGUUGCAGAUGCUAAUGAACAUGAAAAUAUACUCAUUGAGCAACGGAAAAGUGGCAAUGAAGUCACAAGAGAUGUAGAUAGAAAGAAGAGUCCUGGUGAUAGGCUCAAUGAGAAAAAUGCAGCUACGAAUACCAAGGAAGAGAGUGAUUUGGGUUUUGCAGGUGAUGAUGUAAAGGGUGAAAAUACCAUAAAGGGAGAUAAUGGGGGCAAAGUGAGAGGUAGAGAUGUAGCUAAGGAGACCAAGGGAAAGAAGUCCAUGUCAAAAAGUAGCAAAGUAAUGGGUAACGUUAUGGUUAGGAAGGGUGAGAAUUCUGGCGAGGGAGAUGUGCCUGAGGUGGAGAAUGUGGAGACAGGCAGGACCCUACCAAGGAGACACAAACGAGGUGCAGAUGCGGAAAUAGCAUUGACGUUCUUGUUGUCAUCAGAGAAAGGCACAUCUAGGUUAAGACCUAGGAAGGAUAUUCCAUCCUUUCGGAAAGUUGUGUUAAGUGAGAAUGAUUAUGACAGGAUUGUUGGGAAGAGAGUGAAGAUCUUCUGGUCUGGCUCAAGGAAAUGGUUUGUUGGGCGCAUCAAAUCAUUUGAUACUGAGAAGAAGCUUCACAAGAUUUUCUAUGAUGAUGGCGACAAGGAAGAACUGGAUUUGAAGAAAGAGAAGUUUGAGCUUGAGGUUUUACCAAGUGAGGCUUUCCCCAUAUAUUCCAAAAUGGAACUCAAUCCUGAGAAGAAAGAAAUAGGUUUAGAUGGUGGUAGGAUCACUGAGGUGACAACAAAGAGAGGGCCUAAGGUUGAUGAUGCUAAACCUGUAAAGCAUGCACAGAAGAAGCAAAAAACAGUGUCAAAGCCUGAAAAAUGGCAUUUGGAGCUGCAGAGUGGAGAAGGUACUGAGGCUGAUAAGGUGGAGAAUCUGAUUACAGAUAUGGAGGUGGAUUCACUUACCAAAAAAGUUGAGGAGAAUGAAAUACCUGGUGAAAUCAAUAAUUUAGAGAAAGAUGUGGGUAUUAGUAGUUGCGAAGAUAAUGAUGGGGCUAAACUACCGAAAAGGCUUGUUAACAUGAAGAAAAAGAUGGCAUCAAAGUCUGCAAAAAGCAAGGGUUCAAAAGCAAAGGGUAGAAAAGCUACUGGGAAGGAGGUGGGGAAGCUGGAGACCAAUAUGACUAUACCAGAGGAAGAAGAUGAGAAAUCAGUUAGAGGUGAAAUCAAUGCAGAAAAUCCUGGAGAAAAUGAUUCCCAGAAAAAUCACAAUGAAGCUGUCUCCACUUCAGAAGUACCAUCUGAGAUAGUCAGUGAAACAUCUGAUGAAGCAAAACCAUCUAAUCCAAGAAUUAGUCCCGAGGAGAAAGGUUCAAAUGGAGAUGAGGUAAGUGGGGACAUUGUGAGGGAGGAUUUGCUUAAAGUAGGUGAUACUGAACCAUUGAAAAAGCAGGCAAAUACAAAGAAAAAAUUGGGAGCAAAGGCAGCAAAAAGGGGUGGUUUGGGUAGAAAGAAUACUGACAAUAAGAAGUUGAUAGAUCUCGUGGAUAUGGAUCCUAAUGUACUUCCUGAAAAAGCCGAGGACAAAGCUGUAAGUGGUAAAAUUAAUGUGGAAGGUGAAGGAACUGAGGUUGUUAAUUUUGGGAAAGGUUGUCAUGAUCUUUCACAACGAGCAAGUCAGAAAGCCAGUAAAAUAUCUGAUGAAUUACCAAGUGCCAAAGGAGAAAUGCUUGCUGUGGGAAAAAAUCCUGAAAUUAUGAAGCAGAAGAUUGAGAAUGGUGAAGUUCGAGAUAAAGAAGAGUCAAAAGAGAAGAAUACCUUGGCAGAGCUAGAGCUGAAUGCUCAGGCUACACAUCUGCCAGAAAUUGUUGUCAGAAAGGGUCGAGCAAAGAUUAAAAAAAAAAAAUGAAGUGCCGAUUAUGUAAAUGGAAACUCUUCCUGUCUUAAAUAGUCUUUAUCUUGGUUCUUGUGGUGCUCCUCAGGCACUUCCAUCUUUCCACAAGUGGGCCUGUUUGGUGCAUUGAGGUGGUGGAUGAAAACUACUUAACAAGAAACAUGGUCGUGGGACUGUCUAAAUUUACACAGAAAUGGUAGAUUUGAAUAGUUUCAACUUCUAAAGAGCCUUUCCCUUUGAAUUGAGUCCUCGAUGAUUUAAAACCACACCAAAAUUUGUAUAUCUGUUUGCUAUUGAAUUUUUCCUUUCUCUCUUAAAAACCCUAUCUUAAACUUUCAUGGCUUCCUAAUUUGUGAUCUUCAUAGUUUACAGUUAGAUGCCCUGUUAUCUAAAACCAAUUUGACCAAGAAAAUGAAUUUUAGUUUAAAAAUA